rnacentral:lncRNA from 1 species
AACACAAUAUAUAUAGAUUAGGUAAAAAUUAUAAAAUUAUUAUAUGUUUAUAUACUUAUUCGAAUUCGUUUAGCUUCGAAUAGUAUUUUAAGUAUCUGAAUUCGAUUAAGCCUAAACGAUAUCCAUUGACAUGAUCUAAUCAUGUUUAGUAAGGUCAAAACCUUUCAUUUGUAGGGUAAAUUCUCGGAAAUAAUUGAAUGUACAUGAUUGAUGAGCGAAAGAAUGUUUAGAUAUCUGGUGGAUUUACCAACUCAGUGAGAAUCGAUAAUCACAAUAUUGAUAUUCCUUGCUUUCCCUCAAUAGGCUGAUAACUUAUAUAACCUUUUGCAAUAGUGGACCUCCUAGAAUCUCGGCUGGAGCUGUUGCGCCUUUUCUGGGAAGUAGCAUGACAAAUCGAAAUAACCAACAUUUUUAGUUUGCUUAAAGUUAUUACCUCUUUGUUGACAAGGUUCUCUUUCCCAAUACACUCGAUGAAUGGAGCAAGUCUUGUAUGUUUGGAGAGAAAUCUGGAUUUGUGGAAUGGUUUAUAAGUAAGAAAGGAUAUUGUUCAU